UGACUACAAGCGGGAGUAGUAGUGCGCGCCGUGUUUUUCCCAAUAUUUCAUAAAAGAAAGAGAAAAACUAAAGUCAUUAGCUAAAAGGCUUAGUUAAUAUUAGUAGCAAAUAGUGGUGGCACGAAAUUAGUACGGAAUAGAUUUAAAACUAUUGUUCGGUUUUUUUCUUAUUGUUGAUAGAGAUAGGAGUGUUUAAGCAGAACAAAAAC